rnacentral:rRNA from 1 species
UACGUAGGGGGCAAGCGUUGUCCGGAUUUAUUGAGCGUAAAGAGCGUGUAGGCGGCCAGGUAGGUCCGUUGUGAAAACUGGAGGCUUAACCUCCAGCUGUCGAUGGAAACCAUCUGGCUAGAGUCCGGAAGAGGCGAGUGGAAUUCCUGGUGUAGCGGUGAAAUGCGCAGAUAUCAGGAGGAACACCUAUUGCGAAGGCAGCUCGCUGGGACGUAACUGACGCUGAGACGCGAAAGCGUGGGGAGCAAACAGG